UACGGAGGGGACUAGCGUUGUUCGGAAUUACUGGGCGUAAAGCGCACGUAGGCGGAUUUGUAAGUCAGGGGUGAAAUCCCGGGGCUCAACCUCGGAACUGCCUUUGAUACUGCAAAUCUCGAGUCCGGAAGAGGUGAGUGGAAUUCCUAGUGUAGAGGUGAAAUUCGUAGAUAUUAGGAAGAACACCAGUGGCGAAGGCGGCUCACUGGUCCGGUACUGACGGCUGAGGUGCGAAAG
rnacentral:rRNA from 1 species